AUUGAACGCUGGCGGCAGGCCUAACACAUGCAAGUCGAGCGGAUGAAGGGAGCUUGCUCCUGGAUUCAGCGGCGGACGGGUGAGUAAUGCCUAGGAAUCUGCCUGGUAGUGGGGGAUAACGUCCGGAAACGGGCGCUAAUACCGCAUACGUCCUGAGGGAGAAAGUGGGGGAUCUUCGGACCUCACGCUAUCAGAUGAGCCUAGGUCGGAUUAGCUAGUUGGUGGGGUAAAGGCCUACCAAGGCGACGAUCCGUAACUGGUCUGAGAGGAUGAUCAGUCACACUGGAACUGAGACACGGUCCAGCCUCCUACGGGAGGCAGCGGUGGGGAAUAUUGGACAAUGGCGAAAGCCUGAUCCAGCCAUGCCGCGUGUGUGAAGAAGGUCUUCGGAUUGUAAAGCACUUUAAGUUGGGAGGAAGGGCAGUAAGUUAAUACCUUGCUGUUUUGACGUUACCAACAGAAUAAGCACCGGCUAACUUCGUG
rnacentral:rRNA from 1 species